CAUCAAAAAAUCGCAACCCGCGGCUUCCUCAGCUUUCAUCUUUUGGCGGCGACGCGUUUCAUAAAAGUCGACUUAUAGGGAGGGACGAAUUAUUUAUUAGCCACUUUUCCGCGCGUCCGAGCACUAAUCCAUUGUAACGAGCCAACCAGAUGAACGCAUUCAAAAGCCAUUAGAAGAGACACCAGCUACCCUCCUUCCGUUCUUGAUUUAUGUUUAAGGUUUUAUUCGGCCCCUUUCUCUGUUCCCUCCCAUUGCCAUUUUCCUUGCGCUUAUUGAAACCUCUCCUGUCGUUUGAGGCCACCGUUUGUCCGCCAUCACCGCACAUGCUGCUGUAGGGAGGGUUUGGAGGAUUCAGUUUGGCCACAGUCCUCCUCGCAGACGACGUCCUUCAUGGCUGUCUGCGCCAACGAUGCCUGGGGGCAGUUGUGGGGGAUCUUUACGGGUGAACAGGCUUUUCUUGUCUGCAGUUUCCUUGUGCUUGUGUGUGUGUGUGCGUACCUGCGUGCCUGCUUGCGUGUGUGAGUGUGUGUGGGAUUUUUUUAAAGAUGAUCAUAGACUUUGAACUCAUCGAGCAAGAACUAUAGCUACAUAACCCUGCUUACCUGCCCACACCGCCAUGGCUGUGCUUGUAGUCGCCGAUACACGGGGUUGUGGACUCUUGUCCUCCUGCUUGGCUCCCUUGGCACAACAAGUGACACAGCCACCAGCAGGCCACCCCUGUAUGUACACAAUCUACCCACGUGGACCCACGCAAGAAGACGCAGACAGAAUGAAUAGAGAGUGGGACCCGUCUGACAGCUUACAGUGUUUCAAGUUUGUUGUCAAGGAUCAUCAGUCAUUUUGGAUACAGCGUUGCCGAAGGAUGACGAGAGCUGUGGACACUGGGAGGAACUGCAAAAGUACAGGUGUGAUUGUAGAGCGAACUGUGAAGGCAGUCAAGUUGUUGCUGGAUUCUGUCAUCACAACUGGAAUUGCGGAAGCAGGACACCCAGGACUUGUGGUUUCCUGAAGUAUGUCACCUUGUGGUCAGAGUGGAUUAUGGGAUUCGGAUAAACCUGUGAGUUCUUCGUGGGCCGAUGUCAGCAGGAUUAGUGUCAUCCGUGUGGGAAGCAAGCUGUCAGGUGACGCCUACAGGUCCACGUGACAAGCACACCUUGCCCACACCAUCCUCCUCCCCACAGGAGAAUUUU